CAAUUAGUUUUUUAAAAAACACUAAAUAGUCUCAAAAUGAGUAUAAAUUAUUUGUAAUUUCCUGUCAUCAGCUAUUCUAAUAAAAACUGAAUAUAACUUAGGAUUCUGUAGAAAACACUGAUGUCACUCAACUGUUAAACAACAUUUGGCCCUCUGUAGUGUUUCCGAGUUCCUCAGCGGAAAAAAAAUACACAAACGGCAGCAUAAAUCACCUUUGCGCCUUCUUUCAAAUUCCCCUGACUCUACAUGUAUAUUCCUUGACAGGAUUCUGCCUAUUCUACCAUCUGCAAACUUGAAUUUGAUGGAAAAAAAAAAAAGGGAAAAGUCUAUAUAUACUCUAGUGAGACAUAUGUAGGUUGCACCCCCAGCCUCCAUUUCUGCUUCCCUCUUAGUAAGGGCCACCCACAUUUCCAACUCUACAGAUCACCAAUCAGAGAUGUAAAUGUUAGGAAUCUUUCAAGGCCUGGGUUGAGGAUCUCUUCAGAGAGGUCUAGCUAUUGAUCCCAGGGUGCUAUCAGCCUGUGAUCAUUUGUUAUGUUCAUUUCCUAGUUUGCUGGGACACUAGUGGAAUUUUAAUUACACACCCAGACCAUGGGAAGUUCUACGUCUAUGCUUUGAAAGCCACAGAUAAGCAUAUAAUGUUUCAAUGUGGAGAAGUGAGCAUUGGAUUGAAAUCGGAAUACCUGAGUUAUAUUUUUCACUUUCUCCCUAACACAACUGAACAUUGGACAAGACGCUAAAUUCCUCUGGAUCUCUGUUCUUUCAUCUGAAAAAAGAAUUCUCCAUUUGUAGACUAUGGUCCAUUCCAUCUCCAACAUUUUAUGAAUCCUGUGAGUCCACCUAAUUCAUUUUUCUGAUUUAACAGAUGAAAAAACUAAAACAUAGAGAGAUGAAAUGAUUUGCUUAGGGUCAUAUAAUUAGCCAAUGUCCAAACUGAAAAUAAGAGCAGGUUUCUUAUUCCUAGUCCAGCCUACUGUUCUACUACAGCUGAUAGUUGUCAGAGGAGUUUGUGGACGGUGGUAAUCCUUGCAAGAAUAAUUUUCAACUAUUGACAAAGAAAAAAAAAUUCUAGUGAUUUGGGGGAAAAAUGUAAUUUUCUUAUUUGAAUGUGUCACCAUUUUAAAGAGUAUAUUUCUACAGAGAGUUAAGUCAAAGAACUAAUUAUGCAUUGUCUCACAUUAUGUAAGAGCAUUAUACAACUCAAUUAGAACUGACAAUAAAACAACUUCCAGGCAAGAUCUUCUGAAUUGCCCUUAUUUCUCUUUUAAAAUCACUGAAGCAAAAUCACGUUCCAAUUCAAAUAUUCUGAAAGUCUAUCCAGCCUAUACACAUUCCCCUGCAGCAUUUUUACUCUCUUCCUAGGUUUUAGCAAAGAAACAUUUCUGUUUACUUCUGUAACUCCUGUGAGGGCAUGGAAAUUCUAAGUGCCAUUAUUUUCUGGGUAAGAGAAUAAGAAAAUGCAUUUCAAUUUUUUUAAAACCCAGAACCAGGCUUCAAUUUUUAAUUAGAAAGUCAUAACUUAUUUUAAAAGAAUGAACGAAAGUAUUUUUGUUUAUAAAAAUAUUCUAUUCCAAACAAAAAAUACAAGAAAAGAACUUAGCCCUGAACCCCAUCUCAUGUAUUUCAGUAAUCAUUUAAAUAAAGGUUUCCACCAG
rnacentral:lncRNA from 1 species